UACAGAGGUCUCGAGCGUUAGGCGGAAUCACUGGGCUUAAAGCGUGUGUAGGCGGAUGCCUAAGUACCUUGUGAAAUCCCACAGCUUAACUGUGGAACUGCUUGGUAUACUGGGUGUCUUGAGCCACUCAGGGGCGAGCGGAACAAAUGGUGGAGCGGUGAAAUGCGUAGAUAUCAUUUGGAACGCCAAUGGUGAAAACAGCUCGCUGGGGGUGUGCUGACGCUGAGACACGAAAGCCAGGGGAGCGAACAGG
rnacentral:rRNA from 1 species